GUCUGCGCAGGGGUGAGGUCAGUCCAGCCUUCACGGUGUUGUGUGCUCCGUCUGAAGAUAACCUCAGAGAAGCCUUCGGAUCGAUGGCCUCCUCUGGCCACUGGCGGUUCUUCAGGAGGCAGAAGUCACAGAACGGCUUUGCAACUCCAGCUCAGCGGCUGACACAGAGGACAAACUCUUUUUUUUUUCCUUUUUGGGGAGGUCAGGAUACAAGCAUGAAGAAAGAGUUGGGGACAGGCCAGCUAGAAUGCUCAGUGGACAAAGGUGCUUGCUGCCAAGAGUGAGCCCUAUGGUCUGAUCAGGACCCACACCGUGGAAAGAGAACUGACUUCCUCCGACGGAUGGCCACACACAGAUCGUGGCACAUCUUAUUUAAAGAUAUUAAAAGAGUCAUUUAUAGGUA